GGGCUCACACAAGCGGUGGAGCAUGUGGCUUAAUUCGAAGCAACGCGAAGAACCUUAUCCAGGGUUUGACAUCCCGGAUUAAACCGUCGAAAGACGGUCUACACCCUUUGGGUGGAACGGUGACAGGUGCUGCAUGGCUGUCGUCAGCUCGUGCUGUGAAGUGUCGGGUUAAGUCCCUCAACGAGCGCAACCCUUAUCGUUAGUUGCUAACAGGUAAUGCUGAGGACUCUAGCGAGACUGCCGGUGUCAAACCGGAGGAAGGUGGGGAUGACGUCAAGUCCUCAUGGCCUUUAUGCCCUGGGCUGCACACGUGCUACAAUGGUAGGUACAGAACGAUGCAAGACCGCGAGGUGGAGCAAAUCGCUAAAACCUGCCCCAGUUCGGAUUGGAGGCUGCAACUCGCCUCCAUGAAGUCGGAAUC
rnacentral:rRNA from 1 species